rnacentral:snRNA from 1 species
CUCAGAACAGAAUAAAAUGUCU